AGUGAACGCUGGCGGUAGGCCUAACACAUGCAAGUCGAACGGCGGCACAGGAGAGCUUGCUCUCUGGGUGGCGAGUGGCGGACGGGUGAGGAAUACAUCGGAAUCUACUUUUUCGUGGGGGAUAACGUAGGGAAACUUACGCUAAUACCGCAUACGACCUACGGGUGAAAGCAGGGGACCUUCGGGCCUUGCGCGAUUGAAUGAGCCGAUGUCGGAUUAGUUAGUUGGCGGGGUAAAGGCCCACCAAGGCGACGAUCCGUAGCUGGUCUGGGAGGAUAAUCAGCCACACUGGAACUGAGACACGGUCCAGACUCCUACGGGAGGCAGCAGUGGGGAAUAUUGGACAAUGGGCGCAAGCCUGAUCCAGCCAUACCGCGUGGGUGAGGAAGGCCUUCGGGUUGUAAAGCCCUUUUGUUGGGAAAGAAAUCCAGCUGGCUAAUACCCGGUUGGGAUGACGGUACCCAAAGAAUAAGCACCGGCUAACUUCGUGCCAGCCGCCGCCGUAA
rnacentral:rRNA from 1 species